AGUCACUGACAUUAGAUACCCGGGUAGUCCUAGCCGUAAACGAUACUCGCUAGGUGUCGGCCACGGUGCGACCGUUGUCGGUGCCGUAGGGAAGCCGUGAAGCGAGCCACCUGGGAAGUACGGCCGCAAGGGCUGAAACUUAAAGGAAUUGGCGGGGGAGCACCACAACGGGUGGAGCUUGCGGUUUAAUUGGAUUCAACGCCGGAAAUCUUACCGGGACCGACAGCAACAUGAAGGCCAGGCUGAAGACUUUUGCCGGAUUAGCUG
rnacentral:rRNA from 1 species